CCUACGGGGGGCUGCAGUGGGGAGUCUUGCACAAUGGGGGAAACCCUGAUGCAGCGACGUCGCGUGUGGGAUGAAGUAUUUCGGUAUGUAAACCACUUUUGCGGGGGGCGAACACAAUGACGGUACCCCGCGAAUAAGCCCCGGCUAACUACGUGCCAGCAGCCGCGGUAAUACGUAGGGGGCGAGCGUUGCUCGGAUUGACUGGGCGUAAAGCGCGCGUAGGCGGUCCAUUAAGUGUGUGGUGAAAUGCAGAGGCUCAACCUCUGUCCCGCCGCGCAAACUGGUGGUCUUGAGAUUGGGAGGGGGAUGCGGAAUUCCUGGUGUAGCGGUGAAAUGCAUUGAUAUCAGGAGGAACACCGGCGGCGAAGGCGGCAUCCUGGCUUAUAUCUGACGCUGAGGCGCGAAAGCGUGGGUAGCAAACGGGCUUAGAUACCCCUGUAGUC
rnacentral:rRNA from 1 species